rnacentral:rRNA from 1 species
GAUGAACGCUGGCGGCGUGCCUAAUACAUGCCAGUCGAGCGAACAGACGAGGAGCUUGCUCCUCUGACGUUAGCGGCGGACGGGUGAGUAACACGUGGAUAACCUACCUAUAAGACUGGGAUAACUUCGGGAAACCGGAGCUAAUACCGGAUAAUAUAUUGAACCGCAUGGGUCAAUAGUGAAAGACGGUUUUGCUGUCACUUAUAGAUGGAUCCGCGCCGCAUUAGCUAGUUGGUAAGGUAACGGCUUACCAAGGCAACGAUGCGUAGCCGACCUGAGAGGGUGAUCGGCCACACUGGAACUGAGACACGGUCCAGACUCCUACGGGAGGCAGCAGUAGGGAAUCUUCCGCAAUGGGCGAAAGCCUGACGGAGCAACGCCGAGUGAGUGAUGAAGGUCUUCGGAUCGUAAAACUCUGUUAUUAGGGAAGAACAAAUGUGUAAGUAACUAUGCACGUCUUGACGGUACCUAAUCAGAAAGCCACGGCUAACUACGUG